UAACAGCAUCCGCAGACGUAUGCAGCUUCUCCUAUCUGUCCCGGAAAAACACCAGAGGUGAUUGUGACUGCUCUCACCACUGCCUCAGCUUCAGACAAAGAGGGCAUUGAGGGAAGUGGAAAGGGAAAACCGACAGGCCUGCCCAGACAUCAAUGCUGAGAAGAGCACCAUCUUAGAUAGACCAUCUCCAGGAAACCAAAGGAAGCCAGACAGAGACCCAAACCCUACAAGACGUGAACACAGACAUAAUGAGCUCCAUGACCAUUGUGCGCUUUCUGUCCUGUUGUUGGACCCCUCUAAUGGAACGUAAUGCAUGAGCACUUCCCAAACCAAAACAGAAGGAGGGAGCAGACAGAGGAAGUGUCAGAAACAUACAGACAGCUGCCUCAGAGGCCUCAAAUGCGAGCUCCGCUGAGGAUAACAUAAGCGGCCUGUUUGCAUAAGAUGUUGUGCACUGGGAGGUGACUCACUGACUGUGGGGAUGCAGUGAGGAGAUAGACUGUUUGGAUCCCUGCCACCUCCACACUCUCAAUUACAGCGUUUGGCUGGGCCACUUCUGGCUGGCCGCGAAAAAGCGGCCUCCGCCAGACGGUCUGGGAGCAGCAUCCAUGCAGUGGUAAACCAGACGCAGAUCACCUACACUUCCUCUGGCUUCUCGCGCUGCAGCAAACACGGUCUAGUCAAAAUAAUAGCGUAUGUUUCUUUUUGAAUUCUCAGACAACGUGUAAAUAUACUCGCAUCAGAUGGAGACAGAAAGACGAAAACAAUAAUUCUUCUCAUGAACAGGAAACAUACUCACGUCAGAAAACAUUGUGGUUAUUUAGG